rnacentral:lncRNA from 1 species
GAUUCUUUACCAUCACCUCCAAAAGCCCUGCACUUUCACCUCUGCUAUUGCAAUUACCUGGUUGAGAUAUGAUGAGGAUCUGGACCAAGAUGGUGGCCGUGUGAGAAGAGAGAAGGAGAUGGAUGUGAGAGAUGCUCUGAAGUUCUAUUUGGUGUCCAGAGGUCCACAGAAUCAACAUCAGAAACCAUGCCAUUCUCAGACUCAUCACUACCUUUCAUCAACCCUGCCACGAUAAACACAGGGAAGCAGGAUCCUAGCAAGGUCCCCUUUUCUACCAUCGUUGAUUAUGUUACAAACAGAAAUAGGACUCCAAAGAAGAGAAUGCUCCAGAUCCAUGGCUCACCUAUUUGUUUUCCUAACAAUUUCUCUUCACCCCUGAGAUUUUCACAGGAUGAUAUUAAUGAAAAAAGGAAUACACUUACUUCAACUUCUAAAAAACAAGAGGAGUUAGUUAGUAAAACAGAUAAAAGCACUUUGCCGAAACUUCAACCCUUAUUUUCAAUGACAGCAACUAUGAAGUAUGAGCAGAAGUCCAAGAAGAAUAAGCUGAAAUCUCGGUUAGCCCAGGCCCUGUUGGAUGAUUUUCGACAAAAUGUGAAGACCAUUAAAAGUAUCAUGAAUCCAGAGAGCAGCUCCAUGGUGGUGGAGAGUGAAAAGAAAGCUGCAAAUUCUAGACAUGGGAUUAAAGAAGAACAGGUUCAUAUAUUCACACCUUUUUCUGGAGCACAUUCUAAGAGGUAACAGAAGAGAGAAAAAUCAAAAGUAAUAGAUUACCAUGACAUAAAGANAUGUAAGUUCCUUGAGAGCAAGGUGUUUUUUUGGGGGGGGCAUUUAUUUGAAUUCUCAGUACCUGGUAUAUAAUUUUUAUUGAUGAGAGAUAGAAUAUUACUGCGCAAACAGGUCAGUCAAUCUGAUGGAAUGGAAGAACACAUAAUAGUGACUAAUGUGUAAUCAGACUAGAAAGAUAGGUGGAAGUCAGAUUAUGAAGGACCUUAGAUGCUUAAGAGUCUCUAUUUGAUGCUAGAGAAAAUAGGGUGUACCACUGUAGUGGCUUUCUGAACAAGAAGGAUGUACUGGAAAAAAAAAAAAGAGGGAGAGCAAUUAGGAUUAUGCUAAGUAGUCUAGUUGAAGUGCCUAGAGUAAAUGAAAGUAAAUAAAUUUAUAAAGGGCUUUUUGUUAAGUCCA